GUCCCCAAAUGUCACCGAGGGUCCCCCGAGUGUCCCCAAAUGGCACCGGGGUCCUCCAAGUGUCCCCAGAUGUCACCGAGGGUCCUCCAGGGGUCGCCAAAUGUCACCGAGGGUCCCCAAAUGGCACCAGAGUCCUCCAAGUGUCACUAAACGUCAUUGAGGAUGCUCCAGGUGUCCCCAAAUGCCACCGGGGUCCUCCGAGUGUCCCCCAAUGGCACCGGGGUCCUCCGAGUGUCCCCAAAGCGUCACCGGGGUCACCCAGGUCGUUCCAAGAAUGUCACUGAGGUCCUCUGGUUGUCCCCAAGGUGACAUCGGAGGUCCUCCAACCACUCCGGGAGUGUCACCGGGGUCCUCUGCCUGUCCCCAAAGUGUCACUGGGGGUCCUCUAACCACCCGAAGGUGGCACUGGGGGUCCCCUGGCUGUCCCCAAGAUGUCACUGGGGGUCCUCCAACCACCCCACGAGUGUCACUGGGGUCCCCAAAGUGUCACCGGGGUCCUCUGGCUGUCCCCAAGGUGACAUCGGAGGUCCUCCAACCACCCCACGAGUGUCACUGGGGUCCUCUCGUUGUCCUCAAGGUGUCACCGGGGUCCCCCAAAGUGUCACCUGGGCCCUCCAUCCGUCCCCAAAGUGUCACCGAGGUGCCCCCAGGUGUCACCAGGGCACCUCCAACAGCUCCAGGACCUCCACUGAGGUCCUCCAAGGUCUCACCGGGGUCCCCCAAAGU
rnacentral:lncRNA from 1 species